CGGGUGAGUAACACGUAGGUAACCUGCCCAGAAGCGGGGGACAACAUUUGGAAACAGAUGCUAAUACCGCAUAACAACGUUGUUCGCAUGAACAACGCUUAAAAGAUGGCUUCUCGCUAUCACUUCUGGAUGGACCUGCGGUGCAUUAGCUUGUUGGUGGGGUAACGGCCUACCAAGGCGAUGAUGCAUAGCCGAGUUGAGAGACUGAUCGGCCACAAUGGGACUGAGACACGGCCCAUACUCCUACGGGAGGCAGCAGUAGGGAAUCUUCCACAAUGGGCGCAAGCCUGAUGGAGCAACACCGCGUGAGUGAAGAAGGGUUUCGGCUCGUAAAGCUCUGUUGUUAAAGAAGAACACGUAUGAGAGUAACUGUUCAUACGUUGACGGUAUUUAACCAGAAAGUCACGGCUAACUACGUGCCAGCAGCCGCGGUAAUACGUAGGUGGCAAGCGUUAUCCGGAUUUAUUGGGCGUAAAGAGAGUGCAGGCGGUUUUCUAAGUCUGAUGUGAAAGCCUUCGGCUUAACCGGAGAAGUGCAUCGGAAACUGGAUAACUUGAGUGCAGAAGAGGGUAGUGGAACUCCAUGUGUAGCGGUGGAAUGCGUAGAUAUAUGGAAGAACACCAGUGGCGAAGGCGGCUACCUGGUCUGCAACUGACGCUGAGACUCGAAAGCAUGGGUAGCGAACAGGAUUAGAUACCCUGGUAGUCCAUGCCGUAAACGAUGAGUGCUAGGUGUUGGAGGGUUUCCGCCCUUCAGUGCCGGAGCUAACGCAUUAAGCACUCCGCCUGGGGAGUACGACCGCAAGGUUGAAACUCAAAGGAAUUGACGGGGGCCCGCACAAGCGGUGGAGCAUGUGGUUUAAUUCGAAGCUACGCGAAGAACCUUACCAGGUCUUGACAUCUUGCGCCAACCCUAGAGAUAGGGCGUUUCCUUCGGGAACGCAAUGACAGGUGGUGCAUGGUCGUCGUCAGCUCGUGUCGUGAGAUGUUGGGUUAAGUCCCGCAACGAGCGCAACCCUUGUUACUAGUUGCCAGCAUUAAGUUGGGCACUCUAGUGAGACUGCCGGUGACAAACCGGAGGAAGGUGGGGACGACGUCAGAUCAUCAUGCCCCUUAUGACCUGGGCUACACACGUGCUACAAUGGACGGUACAACGAGUCGCGAACUCGCGAGGGCAAGCAAAUCUCUUAAAACCGUUCUCAGUUCGGACUGCAGGCUGCAACUCGCCUGCACGAAGUCGGAAUCGCUAGUAAUCGCGGAUCAGCAUGCCGCGGUGAAUACGUUCCCGGGCCUUGUACA
rnacentral:rRNA from 2 species